GAUGAGCUACCUACCCAUGUGCACUGUUUACAGUGAUGGUAAUGCUCUUUGCACUCUUUAGGAUGGGAGCCUCUAGUCACUCUUGACUGCUGAGCUCCUGAAGCAUCACAAGGACAGAGAACUUCGUUUUACUUACUUGGAUGAGUUAUAUGUGGCUGGUGGCUUGUGUAUGGAUAACAGAGCUUUAGAUAAAAUACAUCUGAGGAAAGCUUAUUGAAAUGUGAAUAAUUUAAACUUGCCUCUGAGCAAAAGCUCUAACUGAACUGUUUGUAUGUUAACACUUUCCUUAGUAGUGUUCCUGCCUCAUGCCCUUCAUGUGAAUGACCGUUUGAAAAAAGCAGUUCUUGCAUCUUACUGUUGCAAGUGCUUAGAAUUGCAUAGACUAGAGACUCAAAUGCCAGAGACUGUUCUGAGAUGGUUAACACAUUUUAGCUUUGAAACCUGUAGCAUUAGGCCCAACAGUUUAUUUUAGAUUAAUUUGAAAUAAUAUAUCUUCUAAGUAAAAUAGAUCUCAUUUUAUCUAUGAUCAACCUGGAAUAUGGAGGUAUGUCAUAUUUAAACAUUUUAAAAAGUAGAUGAGACUAAAGGCAGAUGUUCUUAAUUCCAGCAGGUUAAUUUUGUCUGUUUUCAUGGAGUAUCACUUCAUCUUCACUGAUCAUUUGGUUAGCUGUAGUUCAGUAAAGGCAGCAGUGAAGAUGGCACCUCCCAGAAGAGUGCUUGGCUUGGUAUAAUCAUUGGAACUACAGGUGAAUAUUGAAAGUUUCAUCUUCAUGAUUCCAAGCAAAUAUAUUAACUGUUCUGAACUUUUGGUGAAAACUGUGAUAAAGUUAUGGAGAAUGG